rnacentral:rRNA from 1 species
UACGUAGGUGGCAAGCGUUGUCCGGAUUUACUGGGCGUAAAGAGCGCGCAGGCGGCUGGGCAAGUCCGAUGUGAAAGCUUCCGGCUUAACUGGAAAAUUGCAUCGGAAACUGCUCGGCUUGAAGGUGGGAGAGGGUAGCGGAAUUCCCGGUGUAGUGGUGAAAUGCGUAGAUAUCUGGAGGAACACCGGUGGCGAAGGCGGCAUCCUGGACCGGUAUUGACGCUGAGGAGCGAAAGCCAGGGGAGCAAACGGG